UGGGGAAUAUUGCACAAUGGGCGCAAGCCUGAUGCAGCCAUGCCGCGUGUGUGAAGAAGGCCUUCGGGUUGUAAAGCACUUUCAGCGGGGAGGAAGGCGAUAAGGUUAAUAACCUCAUCGAUUGACGUUACCCGCAGAAGAAGCACCGGCUAACUCCGUGCCAGCAGCCGCGGUAAUACGGAGGGUGCAAGCGUUAAGCGGAAGUACUGGGCGUAAAGCGCACGCAGGCGGUCUGUCAAGUCAGAUGUGAAAUCCCCGGGCUCAACCUGGGAACUGCAUUCGGAACUGGCAGGCUAGAGUCUUGUAGAGGGGGGUAGAAUUCCAGGUGUAGCGGUGAAAUGCGUAGAGAUCUGGAGGAAUACCGGUGGCGAAGGCGGCCCCCUGGACAAAGACUGACGCUCAGGUGCGAAAGCGUGGCGAGCGAACAGG
rnacentral:rRNA from 1 species